GCCACGGGGAGGGCCGGGCGGAGCGAGGUAGGCAGGGAAGGGAUGGAGGAAGGCAGCGAGAGAGGAAGGCCGAGAAGGGGUGGAGGAAGUGGAGGAAGUCAGGGAAGAGUUGGAGGAAGGCAGGGAAAACGAGGAGCAGCGGUGUUGCCCCCGCGAUCCGGAGAGGACAGGCGGGCGGUGCCUCAGCCCGCAGUGGAGGCAGCCGGAGAGCUCCGGACACAGCGAGAUCGCGGCCACCCCGCCUCCAUCAGGGCUUCCUCAGCCUUGAGGGGACCCUUCUCUUUAAGGGAACGCUUUUCCCUGAGGAAACUCUCCUUUUUGAGCGGACACUUCCCUCCUUUUUGAGGGAGCCCUCCGCCCUGAGGAAGGCCUCCAUUUUGAGGGGACCGUCCACCCUUUUCCCUGGAGAUAAUCUCCUUUAGGAAACCGCCCUCCCUGAGGAGACCCUGCUUUUCCAGGGAGCCCUUUUCCCUGAGGGGACCCUGUUUUUCCAGGAAAACCUCUUCCCUGAGGAGACCCUGCUUUUCUAGGAACCCUUUUCCCUGAGGAGACCCUGCUUUUCCAGGAACCCUCCUCCCUGAGGAGACCCUUCUUCCUGAGGCAUCCCUUUUCCCUCACCCUCCCUGGCCCUAAAAAGUGUUUCAAAAAGUGUAAAAUUUCAGAGCUGUAGCUGGUACACAGCAACCACCCCACGCAGGGCUGAGGUGCCAGGUGCCCUGUGCUGAUGCUCAUCCUAAAAAGUAUCCUGGGAAGGUUCCAGAAAGGUCUAUGGGUGAAGGUGUUGCUGGCCCUGAUCUGUGCUGGAAACAGCUCAUGGCCUUUGGGAAGGGAAAAGCUGGGUGUGCCUGUGUGUAGUAAAUACACACACACAGGUCACUUUCAGGGUAAAUGCUCCAGCUCUGGUCAGUUUCAAUGGCAGCGGGGACUGGAGGGAGAGCACAACAAUUUUUCAAUGAAUAGGUUCAGUUUCUGUCUCCUGACUGGCAAAAUCAUGCUGGUGUGAGGCUGAGAGGUAAAAAGGCUGUGCAUGGGCUAAGGGACAAAUGCAAGGUGACAGGGACUGGCCAUGCCUUCAGUCAGACACGUGAAGACUUGGGAGAAAAAAUUAUAACCUCAGUGGUUGCAAAACCCUGGUCCCACAACUCUUUUUUUGUUUCCAGGUGGCAACCUUUCAUCCCAUUUGCAUUAUUCUCCUGGUUCUUUCAGCUACAGGGUUUGGUUCCUGCAGCAGACCAAGGCCUUCACAUUCAGAACAGUAACACCAUUUUUGUCCAUGCUUUGUCUGACUCUGGUUGAUUUUCUUGCAGCCUGAAGCCUCCUUCUCCUUUCAGAUUGGGAGAGAUGAGCAAAUUCACACAAGUCUGGUAUUGUGAGUGUCCCUGCAACAAGGUACCAUGGAACAGGUGCAAAAUUUCAUAAAAACCUGUAGAAUAAUCUUCCUGUUGCCAGCUCAGAAACAGAUUGACCAGAAUUCCAGGGUGGAUGCUGUUUCAGACUCUCUCUGAUCGCCGCUUGAGGCACAGGAGUUACCCAUCUCCUUCAGCAGGGUCAGGACAUAGUAAAGUAAAAAUUAAAUAAUUUAUAGCAUGUUCCUAUGAUAUGAACGCAGCCUGGGCUAGUGGAAAGUGUCCCUGCCCGUAGCAGUGUCGAGAUGACCAUUUUGACUCAAAACAGCUCGAAACAUUCCAGGAUUCAAUGACAUUCCUCUGGAAACUGCUGGAGAUGUCUUUGCCCACACGAUGGCAUCGCAUGUUUAGGAAGUUCCCCACACUGAGACCUCAGCGCCGCUCCGAGCGGGUUUGGAUUCCCCCGUUUGCACACUGUGUGUUGGAAGUAAAACCUGUGUAAUAAACUGGUUUAUCCCUUUCCUGUUCACUCUGCGUAAUGACUGUGAGGACAAAACUCGGAUCUUGGUGGAAAUCCCUCCCUGGGCUACAUGAGCAGGUUCUGGAAAAAGUCUGCUGUGUGUUUGGUUUCCAUCCGUGUUAAUGAACUUCCAGAUGAUGCUCAUGGAGAAAAGUGAACCGUGCACAGACCUCUUUUCAGUCUGGAAAUUUGACGAGACUUGAGAUUCUAGACUUAUGGACCUUGCACUCAGACUGACAACCAGCCAGCUAAUUCUGAUUGACCAGUAUCAUCCUCACAAAGAAAUGAUGAUUUCAAGACCCUUUUUCUCCAGCUACUGAGCUCAGUGUCAGUCAAAAGCUACUGAAAGGUACCUGGCCUGGUUUAACUCCAAUUUAUCCUCUUUUGUUCAAGCCUUGGCCGUUUGUGACAGAGCUGACUGUGAGCUGUGGGUUUGCCUGCCCUGCCCCUCAAUCUAACCUGAGCUUCCUGCUGCUCCUGGAUGGAGUUUUGUCACUCGUCUGUGACAUUAGGCUGUAAACUCCAGCUCUUAAAGCCAGGAGAUACUCACACUAAAUCGCACAGAUUAUGCUCCUGCUGAGGGAAUUUCCAGGUCAGAGGCUAACCACCCUUCAACACCUGUUCUUUGCGCCGCGGAGAGUGUAAAAAGUCAAGCUGGAAACCUGGUGCAUAAGGGCAGCAAUUCGCAGCUCUCCUUAAAUCAGUCGUCACUUCCUGAUGUGUAUUUUCAGCUACUCAGCAGAGCUGGUGAAGUGUCUUGAGUGCUUUGUCUCUGCCAGUCGGAGAGAGAGAAUACACUAAGAUGCCUUUUAAGGACAUUCAAGAAUAUACUGGGGUAUAAAAAAGAGGAAAAACACACAAGAAGGUUCUAUAAACAAUUGUGGCUAAUUUUGUGAACUGGUGUUAGGUGUGUGUUUGAUUGCAGAGUGAAAAAAACAAAACUACAAAACCCCAAACUAUUUAUUUAAAAGACUAUAUAUUUUUGACUUUAAUAAAAUGAAGUAGAUUUGGUUUUAUUAGUUUGCCAAGACCACAGAACAUUUAGAUGACCUUAGUUCCAGGUAAUCCUCAGUUCAAGUCUCUUAGUUCAAGUCUCCUUCAGUUAAAAUAAAUAAUUUCAAGAUAACAGAAUAUUUGAAUGCAUUUAUAUCUAGCACAUCUGUUUUACCUCAGUUAUCUUUUAGUUUCUUUUAAAUUAUUUUUUUCUCCUGAGUUGGAACAGAGAAAUUUUGCAGCUGAUUAGUCUUGUAUACAUAUGUUAAAGUUGUUACUCUCUGGUGUCAGUGACUCAGAACCAUUCUGAUUCACCUUUGAUAUGAUUCAUACCUCGCGCUGAGUUCUCACUGAAGGCCAGCUGAGAAAGGGACCCUGCUGUGCCAAAGACUGUGCAGACAGACAGGAUUUCUGCUCCAAAGAGCUUAUAAUUAGCUGCACUCACACAUGCAAUGAGCAGAACUCCAGCCCUCUCAGCCACAAGCAUCUGACAACUCCAAAAAUGGCAUUAUCACACCGGAGGCACUUUUCAGCAGGGUGUUUUGGGGGUAUGUUCACCUCCUGGGUAAGAGAGAUUGGGACUCCAGGUCCAAAUAAGCCAUUCAGUUUGAAGCCUCUUGCAGCCUGGAGUGUAGAUAAGCCCUGCUGCAAGUCACAUGGAGGAAACAUAGCUGAUGCUUUUCACUUCCCACGUAUUACUCAGCAUUUCAGUUACAUUGUAUUGCAGAACUCUGCCCUUUGCAAAAAAGGUCACAUUUGAGUUAAGAGAGUUAAAUUAUAAAAGACCCUUUCCAUGUUUUAGGGUCUAGAGAACAGAAAAGUCAUUUCACCCUUUUAAUGCCAUUAGGCUCAGUGUUUCCUGUUUUGAUGGACAUGUGAAGUUUCACAAGGCAUCUGCAGUCACAGUGAAAUCUUGCAAUGGUGGCAUUAGAUGAAACUAGUUGUGGGCUUGGCCCUCUGAUCAUCUGUAGGGUGACCUCAGCACAAAAUUCUUUUGACUUUAAAAGGUAUCCUCCAAACCUACCCCACAUAUCCUUUUGUAUCCGUGCUGUUCAACUCUGCCUGUAACUGGCUGCUAUAGGAGCUGUAACUUCACAGCUUCUCACCUGAUUUGCCUUCGGGUUUUUGUAGGAUUGCCAUAUAAGGGUAAAAGACAGUCUGACUCUCACCCAAACUGAGUCCUUAGGUAGUCACAAAGGAAGUUCUGGGUUUUGCAAGUCUUGGUACUUCCCUUUACAAACCCCUCUGCCUGCUGGUAACCAACUCUUCUAUAAAAGGAGAAAGGGUGCAGUGAACACAUGAAUCUGAUUAUUGGGGUUGGAACUAAGUGAUGUUUAAGGUCACCUCCAAACCAUUCUCUGAUUCUGUGGUUGUGGGUAGAGACUAGAACAUGCAGUAUUUUAGAAUAUGUACUUACAGGUGGGAUAACAUUAAUAUAAACCACAGCCAAUUUAACAAGGCAAACAAUCCUUAACAAGAGAACCUCUUCCGCCAAAUAUGCAACCUCUGAUGCUGAGAAACCCUACACAGCCCCUUUUGUUUAAUUUCUGCUUAACCCAGGCCUAGUUUGAAUUAAAUUCCAGAUUACUUACUGCAUUACCCAACUCUUUUGUUUUGUUUGUAAUCUGUGUUUAGUGAAAACUGUAGAGGAAUACAACAAGCCUGUAUCUGAGUAAAGGAAUCAAGUGGUAGAAUUCUGAAUAUCAACAGUCUUUGCUUCUCUUUUUUUGUUUGGUUGGUUUAAUUUCAGUUUUUUUUCAUUUACAGGCUGCUUUCUAUGAAGGAAUUUUAGAAUUUGUUAGGGUAUUUUCUCCAAUGAGGAAGUCUUCCAUAGAAAAUACAUAACUUUAGUUGUUUCCAUAUAUAGUACUGCAGGAUGGAGAGCAGAGGAUGCAGAUGGAAACAGAAGGUCUCAUUUCCUCAGAACACAGCUUAAUUCCCUCUAUUUCAGUUGUAGUGUGGGCAGCACUACACACAGUAACACUGUGGCCCAGACUUCUUGUUCUGUUUGUGAGCGGGGGAUCACCUCACAGGGUGUUAUCACAAUUGUCUCCUUGGGGUCAGACUGUUUGGUCUGCCGAGCCCAAAUCCUGGAAGUGCCACCGCCAUCAGAAACAAUGAGGUGCAAACAGAGUGAAAAACAUCAAACAAUUUUAGAGCACUGAGUGUGGCUAACAAAAACAUGUUUGAGUACCAGAUGGGAAAGUUCUGGUAACAUUCCUGAACUCAUUUUCACUCUUGUUCACCUCUUUAAU